AUUGAACGCUGGCGGCAUGCCUUACACAUGCAAGUCGAACGGCAGCACGGAGCUUGCUCUGGUGGCGAGUGGCGAACGGGUGAGUAAUAUAUCGGAACGUACCCUAGAGUGGGGGAUAACGUAGCGAAAGUUACGCUAAUACCGCAUACGAUCUAAGGAUGAAAGUGGGGGAUCGCAAGACCUCAUGCUCGUGGAGCGGCCGAUAUCUGAUUAGCUAGUUGGUAGGGUAAAAGCCUACCAAGGCAUCGAUCAGUAGCUGGUCUGAGAGGACGACCAGCCACACUGGAACUGAGACACGGUCCAGACUCCUACGGGAGGCAGCAGUGGGGAAUUUUGGACAAUGGGCGAAAGCCUGAUCCAGCAAUGCCGCGUGAGUGAAGAAGGCCUUCGGGUUGUAAAGCUCUUGUCAGGGAAGAAACGGUGAGAGCUAAUAUCUCUUGCUAAUGACGGUACCUGAAGAAUAAGCACCGGCUAACUACGUGCCAGCAGCCGCGGUAAUACGUAGGGUGCAAGCGUUAAUCGGAAUUACUGGGCGUAAAGCGUGCGCAGGCGGUUUUGUAAGUCUGAUGUGAAAUCCCCGGGCUCAACCUGGGAAUUGCAUUGGAGACUGCAAGGCUAGAAUCUGGCAGAGGGGAGUAGAAUUCCACGUGUAGCAGUGAAAUGCGUAGAUAUGUGGAGGAACACCGAUGGCGAAGGCAGCCCCCUGGGUCAAGAUUGACGCUCAUGCACGAAAGCGUGGGGAGCAAACAGGAUUAGAUACCCUGGUAGUCCACGCCCUAAACGAUGUCUACUAGUUGUCGGGUCUUAAUUGACUUGGUAACGCAGCUAACGCGUGAAGUAGACCGCCUGGGGAGUACGGUCGCAAGAUUAAAACUCAAAGGAAUUGACGGGGACCCGCACAAGCGGUGGAUGAUGUGGAUUAAUUCGAUGCAACGCGAAAAACCUUACCUACCCUUGACAUGGCUGGAAUCCUUGAGAGAUCAGGGAGUGCUCGAAAGAGAGCCAGUACACAGGUGCUGCAUGGCUGUCGUCAGCUCGUGUCGUGAGAUGUUGGGUUAAGUCCCGCAACGAGCGCAACCCUUGUCAUUAGUUGCUACGAAAGGGCACUCUAAUGAGACUGCCGGUGACAAACCGGAGGAAGGUGGGGAUGACGUCAAGUCCUCAUGGCCCUUAUGGGUAGGGCUUCACACGUCAUACAAUGGUACAUACAGAGCGCCGCCAACCCGCGAGGGGGAGCUAAUCGCAGAAAGUGUAUCGUAGUCCGGAUUGUAGUCUGCAACUCGACUGCAUGAAGUUGGAAUCGCUAGUAAUCGCGGAUCAGCAUGUCGCGGUGAAUACGUUCCCGGGUCU
rnacentral:rRNA from 1 species